GAUCAUAGUUCAGCAGCAGAACAUCUGCUUUGCAUGCAGAAGAUCCCAGGUUCAGUCCCUGGCAUCUGCA